rnacentral:rRNA from 1 species
GAUGAACGCUGGCGGCAUGCCUAAUACAUGCAAGUCGAACGCGGCCAUCCGGUGCUUGCACUGGUGAAGCCGAGUGGCGAACGGGUGAGUAACACGUGAGAAACCUGCCCUGGAGUGGGGAAUAACUCGAAGAAAUUCGAGCUAAUACCGCAUACCUUCUCUUCACCGCAUGGUGAGUUGAAGAAAGAUUUAUCGCUCUAGGAGGGUCUCGCGGCCUAUCAGCUAGUUGGUGAGGUAAUGGCUCACCAAGGCAUCGACGGGUAGCUGGUCUGAGAGGACGAUCAGCCACACUGGGACUGAGACACGGCCCAGACUCCUACGGGAGGCAGCAGUAGGGAAUCUUGCGCAAUGGGCGAAAGCCUGACGCAGCAAUGCCGCGUGCGGGACGAAGGCCCUAGGGUCGUAAACCGCUUUCAGUAGGGACGAAAAUGACGGUACCUGCAGAAGAAGCUCCGGCCAACUACGUGCCAGCAGCCG